rnacentral:rRNA from 1 species
GACGAACGCUGGCGGCGUGCCUAAUACAUGCAAGUCGAACGCUUCUUUUUCCACCGGAGCUUGCUCCACCGGAAAAAGAGGAGUGGCGAACGGGUGAGUAACACGUGGGUAACCUGCCCAUCAGAAGGGGAUAACACUUGGAAACAGGUGCUAAUACCGUAUAACAAUCGAAACCGCAUGGUUUUGAUUUGAAAGGCGCUUUCGGGUGUCGCUGAUGGAUGGACCCGCGGUGCAUUAGCUAGUUGGUGAGGUAACGGCUCACCAAGGCCACGAUGCAUAGCCGACCUGAGAGGGUGAUCGGCCACAUUGGGACUGAGACACGGCCCAAACUCCUACGGGAGGCAGCAGUAGGGAAUCUUCGGCAAUGGACGAAAGUCUGACCGAGCAACGCCGCGUGAGUGAAGAAGGUUUUCGGAUCGUAAAACUCUGUUGUUAGAGAAGAACAAGGAUGAGAGUAACUGUUCAUCCCUUGACGGUAUCUAACCAGAAAGCCACGGCUAACUACGUGCCAGCAGCCGCGGUAAUACGUAGGUGGCAAGCGUUGUCCGGAUUUAUUGGGCGUAAAGCGAGCGCAGGCGGUUUCUUAAGUCUGAUGUGAAAGCCCCCGGCUCAACCGGGGAGGGUCAUUGGAAACUGGGAGACUUGAGUGCAGAAGAGGAGAGUGGAAUUCCAUGUGUAGCGGUGAAAUGCGUAGAUAUAUGGAGGAACACCAGUGGCGAAGGCGGCUCUCUGGUCUGUAACUGACGCUGAGGCUCGAAAGCGUGGGGAGCAAACAGGAUUAGAUACCCUGGUAGUCCACGCCGUAAACGAUGAGUGCUAAGUGUUGGAGGGUUUCCGCCCUUCAGUGCUGCAGCUAACGCAUUAAGCACUCCGCCUGGGGAGUACGACCGCAAGGUUGAAACUCAAAGGAAUUGACGGGGGCCCGCACAAGCGGUGGAGCAUGUGGUUUAAUUCGAAGCAACGCGAAGAACCUUACCAGGUCUUGACAUCCUUUGACCACUCUAGAGAUAGAGCUUCCCCUUCGGGGGCAAAGUGACAGGUGGUGCAUGGUUGUCGUCAGCUCGUGUCGUGAGAUGUUGGGUUAAGUCCCGCAACGAGCGCAACCCUUAUUGUUAGUUGCCAUCAUUCAGUUGGGCACUCUAGCAAGACUGCCGGUGACAAACCGGAGGAAGGUGGGGAUGACGUCAAAUCAUCAUGCCCCUUAUGACCUGGGCUACACACGUGCUACAAUGGGAAGUACAACGAGUCGCGAAGUCGCGAGGCUAAGCUAAUCUCUUAAAGCUUCUCUCAGUUCGGAUUGCAGGCUGCAACUCGCCUGCAUGAAGCCGGAAUCGCUAGUAAUCGCGGAUCAGCACGCCGCGGUGAAUACGUUCCCGGGCCUUGUACACACCGCCCGUCACACCACGAGAGUUUGUAACACCCGAAGUCGGUGAGGUAACCUUUUGGAGCCAGCCGCCUAAGGUGGGAUAGAUGAUUGGGGUG